UGACAGCACAGCAGCAGCUGACGCAGAAACCGCCUGGAAGCUUCUCCUGUGUCACAAAGGAGCACAAAGAACCCUCCCAGGGCACAGCCUCUUGCCCAAAGGAUCCAAGAGGAACUUGGAAAAUGCAGCAAACAAGGACACGCCAUAGCCCAGCCCGAACACUGAGGAGGAACAAGGACAGCACCAAACCAAAGGAAUCGUGACCUUUAGUCACUGAUACUUCUGACUAAAAACAGCAAGCCUUGUUCCACCUGGGAUCUUUGUUCUAGUUCUAAAAACAAGCAUGGUUCUUCAGUCUAAAUACACAGAAGGCAGGAACUGGGGAGGAGGUGGGAUUGGGAGAGAGGAGGAGGAGGGAGAGAGGAAAAGGAGGAGCAGAAAGGGGAGGAUCAGGAGCAGGAAACGAAGGAGAAGCAGGAGGUUCCAGUGCCCCCUGUGGCCGCAGCCACUGGACCAUCGCCCCCCCCUCGUGCUGCAGAUGCUGCAACCAGGCGUCCUCCAUUCCUCCACGGAGUAGUCCAUCCCCAGAUUUCCCGGGAAAGCGUUCAGGAUUUUCGUUAUGUUCCAAGAAUUCGGGGGAUCAGGGGUCGUGUUCUGGGGAGGUUGGGAGUCGAGCGGGUCCAGGAGAUGAAAGUUUGGGGAGGCUUUGCAAAACAGGGGCUGCUGUUUCUGUGCCCUGUUCCUCUUCCAAACAAGUUGCGGCCGGAUCUUGUUCUGAAGUUGUGCAGGGGGAGUCUGCCGUGGGGGAUUCCAAAUCUGCUCUGCCUGGCCGAGGGGCUGUGGGGGUCACUCCUGCCACUGUUUCCGCUUCCCGGGAAGCCAUCCCCUCAGAUCAGGCUCAGGCAGGCAGAUUGCUUUGUAGUUCUGAGAAUUCUUUUUGUAUAGCUUCCUCCCCCAAGCCUCUUCCAGGGUUUUCAUUGCUUUUGGUUCCCCAGCCUCUGGUUACAGGUGGUGGGGAGGCUUUGGAUUUGUCUUUGCCUGCAGAGGAGGGGCAAUGGGGAGGACAGAGGCGGCGGGCGGCAGCCAAGGGCCGAGCAGGGCCAGGAUGACUCUGCCCGGAGGAGGAAGAGCGGGGGGGGGGGAAAACAGCAUGUUGAGACUGCAGCUUGGAGCUGAGAGUUUUCCAGCUGUAUACCCACGUGUGGGGAUAGGGUGUGGAACCUGUAACAGCCCAUUGGAAGUGUUACAAAUACAAAAUCGGGACCUGCAGUUUGAGAGCAGCCCGAUUCGUAUGAUUCUAAUGAAACGCAAUUUACUGAAUUGAGGCCUGAUAUAUCAGACUCUGGUUCUCUUUCUUUAACCAAUAAAACACAUUCCUCGGCCGCUACCUCCAUAGGGGGGGCAUUGCUGGGAUUGUGGAGCUCUGCUCUGCCCUUCCUGGCAGGGCUCCCGGGGAGGCGUGUUGCUCAGGCAGCGCUGCUGCCAAGACCUUGGAACUUUGCUCCCCGGCCCUUCCUGACAGGGCUCCCAGAAAAGUUUGUUGCUGCAGCCACACCUCUGCCAAAAAGAACUUGGAGCUUCUUGGCAGAGUUCCUGGGACAGCUGAUGACUGUGACAACACUACCUGUUCUUCUGUAACAGAAACAGGAGUGAUGAGAGGGAAAAACAAAACACAAUCUAAAUCAGAGGUAAACCUUCCAUUGCAACUACCUAAUUGGUCUAAUAUUAAUCAAAAUUUAGAAAAAUAUUUGGAUUCAAAGAAACAAUUCCUUGCCUUAUCUGUAAGAUAUGGUUGUAAUGAUGUAAAUCCAUGAUAUGCAACUCUGUCUCACCAUGAUACAAAAGAGCUCCAUCAAGCUUUGAAAGAAAGUGGGUUCUCUUCUCCUUAUUUUAAUAAUGUGUUGAAAAGUGUAUUUAAUUCUUAUGACUUAGUCCCUGCUGAUUGUUGAAAUGUGGCUUCCGUGAUUUUAACCAAUUCACAAUAUCUUUUAUGGGAAUUACAGUGGAAAAACUUCUUAAUAAAUUGGUUGAAAGCUAUGAAAAUACUCGCUAUGAGAAUAUAGAUAUUACCCAAUUAGCAGGUGAUCCACCUUUCCAUAAACCAGAAAAUCAAGCGGUGGAAUUGCCUUGGGAUGUACUAACAGAUAUUAAAGAUGCUGCUAGAAAAGCUUUAUUUUCAGUUGAGCCAGCUGGUACCCAUGUGAAUACUUAUACUACUAUCAGACAAGGUGAAACUGAGUCCUUUGGUUCUUUCCUAGAUAGAUUAACCCAAGCAGUCGAAAAACAAUGUCCAGAUGAACAAGCUCAUUCCUAUAUUAUUCAAAACCUUGCUUUUGUAAAUGCUAAUGAAGAAUGUAGAAAAAUUAUUUUAACUUUACCUGAUCAGCCUCCAACUGUAACACAGAUGCUAACAGCUUGCAGUAAGCUUGCCUCUUCACAACAUCUUGCUAACGUGCAAGUCAAUGCUUUUGGAAAGCAGAUUGCAGAAUGUCAGGAAAAGUUAGGAAAAACAUUGGGAAAUAAUUUAGCACAACAAAUGGAAAAAUUUGAAAAGGCCCUAGAAGCACAAACAAAAACUUUGGAAAAAUCUGUUGGUACUGUACCGUUGGACUCUGGUAAAAAGGCUUGUUGCUUUGCUUGUGGUAAGCCAGCACACAUCAAAAAGGAUUGCCCUACAAAAACAAUUCAACCUAAACAACUUUCUAUUUGCCCUCGAUGUCAGAAAGGGAAGCAUCUUGCUAAGCAUUGUCACUCUCAAUUCAACAUCGAUGGCAAACCUUUGUCGUUAAACUCAAAAAAGAGCGUGGAUUAGCACCGUGCCUUGACACAAGCAGUGGUACCUCCUUACAGCAAUUACCCAGCCAAGUGGCAUUGGUACCUCAAUCAUUUAUCCCACAGUCAACCAUUCCGCAAAUGGUUCCAGCUCAAUACCCUCAAAUACAAGGUUUGAAUUGGCCUCCUCAAAAUUGAUACACCUUUUAAAUAAUUUUUGUUAUGAAAGCAUUCCUACUGGAAUUGUCAAUCUUUUUCAACAAAGACAAGAUUUUUUGAUUCUAGGCAAAGCUAGCAACAAAAUUCUUGGCCUUUCAAUCCUUCCUGCCAUUGUUUCAGUAAAUUGUAAUGAAGAGCUAGUAAUUUUAGCUCUUGCAUUUAGUGUUCCUGUGGUAAUUCCACUAAAAACACCUAUAGCUAUUGCAUUUCUUCUAUCCAUGAAUACACCCAAGCAAAACAACUUUCCAAACAAUUCAUUUAUGUCUGUGCCAUUUGGUACCUCAGGUCCUGAGGUCUUUUGGGUGCAAUGAUUCUACACUACAUGGAUGAUUUGCUCAUCGCAGCUCCAGUGCAGAGAGAGAUGGAGCAAACCCAUGCCAGUGUUGUUACUGAAAUCCGAAAUGCUGGACUUGAAAUUUCUACAACAAAAAUCCAAGAAGUUCCACCCUGGAAGGAUCUGGGAUGGAAGAUGACGGAAAAAAACAAUUACACCAUGGAAGAUACAGCUCUGGACCAAUGUCAACAAUCUACAAGAUUUACAACAGCUUCUAGGAGAAAUCAAUUUGGUCAGACCUGUUUUGAGAAUUACCAACGAUGAACUGGGUCCACUUUUCAAUUUAUUUUCAAUUCCACCUCAAUUUCAAGAGGAAGCUGUGACAUCAACUCUCCUAGAACUCUUACACCUGAAGCUCGUGCAGCCCUUGACAAGGUCAUGGAAGCCCUCCAAAGACGACAAGCUCAUCGCUGUGUUCCAGAAAAGCCUUUCUUUUUUGCAAUUUUAGGAGAAAAAAAUGCAACUUUGUGGUCUCAUGUUUCAGUGGGACCCUCUGAGAGAGAUCCUUUGUUGAUAAUGGAAUGGAUUUUUCUUCCCUAUAGGUUUCCAAAGACUAUUUUUACAGUUUUAGAGAUGAUGGCACAAAUUGUAAUUAAGGCCAGAACAAGAUUGUUAAGUUUAGCAGGUCAAGAAUUUGCAGUUAUCUAUUUACCAUUGAAAAAAAAAUUAUCUUGAUUGGGCAAUGCAAAAUUAUGAUGAUUUGCAGUAUGCAUUGUUGAACUUUCCAGGUGUUUGUUCUGUUCAUUACCCAGCUCACAAAUUAUUGUAAGCAAAAUUGAGUUUUAGAGAGAAACCUAUGUUAAGUGAAGAACCUUUAAAUGCAAUAACUCUUCACUGAUGGAUCUGGCAAAAGUCACAAAUCAGUCAUAACUUCGUUGAACCAAAAAACUAAUGCUUGGGAGUCAGACAUUCAAACAGUAGAAGGAUCUCCUCAGAUUGUUGAACUUGCAGCUGUGGUUCAGGCUUUUCAGCUCUUUCCACAACCUUUUAAUUUAAUUACAGAUUCUGCUUAUGUUGCUAAUGUAGUUAAAAGAAUAGAAGGAUGAGUUUUGAAGGCUGUUAGUAAUGAGACUCUAUAUCGUUGGCUUUCAUGUCUUUAUACAACUUUGCAAUACAGAACUAAUCCAUAUUUUGUUUCUCACAUCAGGCUCAUUCUUCGCUUCCUGGAUUUUUAGUGGAAGGAAACGCGAGAGCAGACAAACUGACAAUGGUUAUCUCAAACCCUUUGCCAAACAUUUUUGAACAAGCAAAACUGAGUCAUGCCUUUUUUCACCAAAAUGCACAAGCACUUGUGCGAAUGUUUCAAAUUUCCAAAAGUCAAGCUAAAGCCAUCAUCAAUACUUGCCCUGACUGCCAGCUUGUGCAGCCUCCUGUUUCCACAGGAGCGGUCAACCCAUGAGGCUUGCAAAGCCUGCAGUUAUGGCAAACAGAUGUCACUAAAUACCUUUCCUUUGGUAAAUUUAAAAAUAUUCAUGUCUCAGUAGACACCUUCUCUGGUGCAGUUUUUGCUUCUCUUCACACAGGUGAAACAGAUAGUCAUGCCUAUCACCAUUUCUUGCAAGUUUUGCUUCAUUGGGUGUGCCCCAAGAAGUAAAAACUGACAAUGGUCCCAUAUGUAUAUCUCAAAAAUUGACCACAUUUUUAAAAGAAUGGGGUGUUUGUCACAUCUUUGGUAUUCCUCACUCUCCCAUGAGUCAAGCAAUUAUUGAGAGAGUACAUCAAACAUAAAAACGCAUUCUUGAUCAACAGAAGGGGGGACUAGAGGUCACACCACAGAUGAGGUUGAACAAAGCUUUGUAUGUUUCUAAUUUUUUAAACAGUUCUGUUGCAGAACCCAACCCACCAAUUUUUAGACAUUUUUCAAAUAACACACAGGCAAAACUGAAAGAAAAUCCCCCUGUUUUAAUUAGAAACCCUGAUACUGGGCAAAUUGAAGGUCCUUUUUGAUUAAUCACUUGGGGCAAAGGGUAUGCUUCUGUCUCUACAAGUGCAGGAAUUAAGUGGGUCCCAGCCAAAAACAUCAAACCGUAUCACACCCCAGAAUGUGUUGACGAGUCCAAGACCACAGAAGCAAGUACGCAGAUGUGAGCCCAACACAGGGAUCACAGGUCACACCUGACAUGCCUUGUUCAUCGUUGGAACCUGCAAACUCUGAUUUUGUGCUGUUUUUAAAUGUGUCAGUUGUUGGUUUCAUAGAGCUGAUUUUUGGCGAAAGUGUGGUUUUUGCUUUUUUACAUCAUAGAUCCCCUCUAUUGGACUUUCAAAGGUGAAAUUUUAUUUUUAGGUCAAAAGCAAGGUUUUCAAAUUGAUACAUAUGGGAACAUUUUUUGCCAAAGAUUAGCUCAUGAGAAGGAUGGAGCAAAAUCGAAAGCUAUGCUGGUGUUGGUUGGUUUUGAUUGCUUCUUGUAAUGCAAAUUUCCUGUGGAACAACCAAAAACAAAUGUUUGGGUGACCUUAGCCAAGGCAGCAGGCUCAGAUACCAUAUGUCGGAACCAGAAAAGCCUUUCUCAACCUGUCUAGUUGGUGUGCCAGUAAAGGAUUUGACUGUGAUCAAAAAGCAAUCUAAUAGUAAGCCUGGUGAAAUUGACAAUGGGAGCAGGUCCUGUAUUGAAUUGGAACAUUUGGGCCAAAGAACUUCCCAAAGCAGUAUCUGAACCCCAGGAAUUAGAAAUCUUUGGUUCUUUAAAAAUGGAUUUUUGCCUUACAUUUACAGCUAAUGAUUGGCUAGAAGGUGAUCCUCCAAAGUAUAAUGUUACUCCUCAUUAUUUUGCAUACAGAAAUUUAAGUUUUUGGUGUAAUUAUUCAAACAGUUGGGAUGUGCUUUCCGAGGCUGACCAAUAUCCACGACAAUUGCCAAAAGGAUGUUGGUUCAUUUGUGGAGAUAGGGCUUGGCAGGGCAUCCCAUCACGCCUUGAAGGUGGCCCAUGUAGCAUUGGGAUCCUCACUGGGAUAGCCCCUACUGCUAAAGCAGUCAUUAAGAAGAAACAUAGGGGAACAAGAUCUGCUCAUCAUUAUGAUAAGACUUGUAAGAGUGAUUUCAUGCCUUGGAAUGCUGCCAAAAGGGUUUCAGCAGGUUUGUUUUUACCCCAUCUGGCUUCAGCAAUGGCAUUAAAACAAUUAGAUUGUGUUGGAUGUUGGCUGAGUAAACAAACUAAUGCCACAUCCACUGCAAUCAGUGAUGUGAUGACAGAUGUUCAUAGUGUUAGACAUGCUACCCUUCAAAAUAGAGCAGCAGUUGAUUUUCUUUUACUGGCACAUGGACAUGGUUGUGAGGAAUUUGAAGGAUUGUGUUGUAUGAACCUGUCUGAUCAUUCUGAAUCCAUCCACAAAAGUAUACAAAAGCUGAAAGAUUUGACAGCUCAAAUUAAAGAAGAUGGUGGGUCCUGGUUAGAUGAUUUGUUCCAAGGAGCUUUGCACCUUGGCUAAGGGAACUCUGUAAAAUAGGUCUAUAUGUGUUGGGUGUUUUGGUGGUGAUACUGUAGUAAUACCUUGCAUACUCCGGUGUGUGCGACGAAUGAUGGACAAAACUACCAAAGAAGUUUUUAUCAUACAAGAGACAGAGGUAGGAAAUGGAUUCACAGAGAGUUCUCGAAAUCUCACAGAGAUGAUGGAUGAAGGUGUAGACAUGAAGGAAGGUUUUGAAUUAAGACGAGAUUUUUUCUAACAAUAAUUUAUAAUUGUUAUCACACAUGCCCUUUGAACUGACUGGACUUCCACAGCAUUAAAAUUGUUGUGUUGUAAGAUAGCAAUGCUUGGUGCAAGCAAAAAGACGCGUUUAGUAAGUAAUAAGCUGAUAUGUUAUAGUAGAGCUACGAAACGCAAAGUAGUUAAUAAAUGACACGGUUAUGAAGGUUUCUCUUUAGGUGAACCGAGAGGGGGAAUUGUGAGAAUCCAUAAAAUCAGAGGGUUUUGGGAAAGCUGUGAAAGGCAGGUCUCAGAGACAGCAGAACUGUGAUUAGAGCUAAGCAGUGGCCAUAAAAUAAGUUAGCAGAAAAAUUAUGUAAAAAGUAGAAAUGUAAGGACAAAGAAACAAUGGUCUGUGUAUUAACACUUGUCUAGAAUAACUCCCUAAUCUGCAAAAAAGUAUAUCUAGCAAGAUACUAGGAAGUUCUAAGCUUAAUAAUGGAGCUCUGUGCAUUGUGUUUUAAGGCUUACAAACAGGUAUUGCAUUCGAAAUAAGCAAGCAUUGUUUUAACCAAAAGUACAUGUGCUUAUAGUGGUUGGAUAGAACUACUGUCAAUAUGCUUCUUCUUUGUGUGAUUGGUCAAAAAACUUAUAAAUAAGUUGUAACAUUAAGUUCUUGGUCUGCUGCCUGGGAUAUGAGCUGCUGGCAUCUUCCCAUUGUCAUAACCAUGUAAUGAGACUGAUGCUGGAAAAUAAAACAGCUCAAGACGCGU